AGUGAACGCUGGCGGUAGGCCUAACACAUGCAAGUCGAACGGCAGCACAGUAAGAGCUUGCUCUUACGGGUGGCGAGUGGCGGACGGGUGAGGAAUACAUCGGAAUCUACUUUUUCGUGGGGGAUAACGUUGGGAAACUUACGCUAAUACCGCAUACGACCUACGGGUGAAAGCAGGGGAUCUUCGGACCUUGCGCGAUUGAAUGAGCCGAUGUCGGAUUAGCUAGUUGGCGGGGUAAAGGCCCACCAAGGCGACGAUCCGUAGCUGGUCUGAGAGGAUGAUCAGCCACACUGGAACUGAGACACGGUCCAGACUCCUACGGGAGGCAGCAGUGGGGAAUAUUGGACAAUGGGCGCAAGCCUGAUCCAGCCAUACCGCGUGGGUGAAGAAGGCCUUCGGGUUGUAAAGCCCUUUUGUCGGGAAAGAAAAGCAGCAGGUUAAUACCCCGCUGUUCUGACGGUACCCAAAGAAUAAGCACCGGCUAACUUCGUG
rnacentral:rRNA from 1 species